rnacentral:ncRNA from 1 species
UACCCGCUCCUCCUCCCUGAGCGGGGAAGUCCCGACCCAAAUUCGGGAUUUGUUGUCAGCCCCGGACUCUCUCCCCUUGUUUCCGGGGCUUUUUUUU